GAUGAACGCUGGCGGCGUGCCUAAUACAUGCAAGUCGAGCGAAUGGAUUAAGAGCUUGCUCUUAUGAAGUUAGCGGCGGACGGGUGAGUAACACGUGGGUAACCUGCCCAUAAGACUGGGAUAACUCCGGGAAACCGGGGCUAAUACCGGAUAACAUUUUGAACCGCAUGGUUCGAAAUUGAAAGGCGGCUUCGGCUGUCACUUAUGGAUGGACCCGCGUCGCAUUAGCUAGUUGGUGAGGUAACGGCACACCAAGGCAACGAUGCGUAGCCGACCUGAGAGGGUGAUCGGCCGCACUGGGACUGAGACACGGCCCAGACUCCUACGGGAGGCAGCAGUAGGGAAUCUUCCGCAAUGGACGCAAGUCUGACGGAGCAACGCCGCGUGAGUGAAGAAGGGUUUCGGCUCGUAAAACUCUGUUGUUAAGGAAGAACGCCAGGUAGAGUAACUGCUACCUGUGUGACGGUACUUAACCAGAAAGCCACGGCUAACUACGUGCCAGCAGCCGCGGUAA
rnacentral:rRNA from 1 species